rnacentral:rRNA from 1 species
AGUGAACGCUGGCGGUAGGCCUAACACAUGCAAGUCGAACGGCAGCACAGUAAGAGCUUGCUCUUACGGGUGGCGAGUGGCGGACGGGUGAGGAGUACAUCGGAAUCUACUUUUUCGUGGGGGAUAACGUAGGGAAACUUACGCUAAUACCGCAUACUACCUACGGGUGAAAGCAGGGGAUCUUCGGACCUUGCGCGAUUGAAUGAGCCGAUGUCGGAUUAGCUAGUUGGCGGGGUAAAGGCCCACCAAGGCGACGAUCCGUAGCUGGUCUGAGAGGAUGAUCAGCCACACUGGAACUGAGACACGGUCCAGACUCCUACGGGAGGCAGCAGUAGGGAAUAUUGGACAAUGGGCGCAAGCCUGAUCCAGCCAUACCGCGUGGGUGAAGAAGGCCUUCGGGUUGUAAAGCCCUUUUGUUGGGAAAGAAAAGCAGCAGGUUAAUACCCCGCUGUUCUGACGGUACCCAAAGAAUAAGCACCGGCUAACUUCGUG